UGGGGAAUAUUGCACAAUGGAGGGAACUCUGAUGCAGCGACGCCGCGUGAACGAAGAAGGCUUUCGAGUCGUAAAGUUCUUUUAUAUGGGAAGAUAAUGACGGUACCAUAAGAAAAAGCCCCGGCUAACUACGUGCCAGCAGCCGCGGUAAUACGUAGGGGGCUAGCGUUGUCCGGAAUCACUGGGCGUAAAGGGUUCGCAGGCGGAAAUGCAAGUCAGGUGUAAAAGGCAGUAGCUUAACUACUGUAAGCAUUUGAAACUGCAUAUCUUGAGAAGAGUAGAGGUAAGUGGAAUUUUUAGUGUAGCGGUGAAAUGCGUAGAUAUUAAAAAGAAUACCGGUGGCGGAGGCGACUUACUGGGCUCAUUCUGACGCUUAGGAACGAAAGCGUGGGUAGCAAACAGG
rnacentral:rRNA from 1 species